GUUAUAGGGACAAGCGAAUAAGUGCACAUGGUGGAUGCCUUGGCGAUUACAGGCGAUGAAGGACGUAGUAGCUUGCGAUAAGCUGCGGGGAGUGAGCAAACACACUUUGAUCCGCAGAUUUCCGAAUGGGGCAACCCACCCUUUUAGGGUAUUGCAACCUGAAUACAUAGGGUUGCAAGGCGAACGCGGCGAACUGAAACAUCUAAGUAGCUGCAGGAAAAGAAAUCAACCGAGAUUCCCAAAGUAGCGGCGAGCGAAAUGGGAAGAGCCUGUACGUGAUAGUCGGACCGAUAACAGAAUCCUCUGGAAAUAGGAGCCAUAGUGGGUGAUAGCCCCGUAUGUGAAAUUGGACCGGUGAUACUAAGCGUACGACAAGUAGGGCGGGACACGUGACAUCCUGUCUGAAUAUGGGGGGACCAUCCUCCAAGGCUAAAUACUCGUAAUCGACCGAUAGUGAACCAGUACCGUGAGGGAAAGGCGAAAAGAACCCCGGAAGGGGAGUGAAAUAGAUCCUGAAACCGUGUGCAUACAAACAGUAGGAGCGGACUUGUUCCGUGACUGCGUACCUUUUGUAUAAUGGGUCAGCGACUUACAUUCAGUGGCAAGGUUAACCAUAUAGGGAAGCCGUAGAGAAAUCGAGUCCGAAUAGGGCGAUCAGUCGCUGGGUGUAGACCCGAAACCAAGUGAUCUACUCAUGGCCAGGAUGAAGGUGCGGUAACACGCCCUGGAGGUCCGAACCCACUAAUGUUGAAAAAUUAGGGGAUGAGCUGUGGGUAGGGGUGAAAGGCUAAACAAACUUGGAAAUAGCUGGUUCUCUCCGAAAACUAUUUAGGUAGUGCCUCAAGUAUCACCAUCGGGGGUAGAGCACUGUUAUGGCUAGGGGGUCAUUGCGACUUACCAAACCAUUGCAAACUCCGAAUACCGAUGAGUGCGAGCUUGGGAGACAGACGUCGGGUGCUAACGUCCGGCGUCAAGAGGGAAACAACCCAGACCGCCAGCUAAGGUCCCAAAGAUUGGCUAAGUGGAAAACGAAGUGGGAAGGCUAAAACAGUCAGGAUGUUGGCUUAGAAGCAGCCAUCAUUUAAAGAAAGCGUAAUAGCUCACUGAUCGAGUCGUCCUGCGCGGAAGAUGUAACGGGGCUAAGCCAGUCACCGAAGCUGCGGAUAUAUGCACAUCCUUCAAGCACAUUCAAUCGAAGUGGAAAGCGUGGACGAUACUUACUUGCGUAGCAAGUUAGUAGAGGCCAAAGCGCUGUGUACAUCGAGUUGCAAGUUGAGAGUGUGUUUUAAGGAUGUGCAUAUAUGGUAGGAGAGCGUUCUGUAAGCCUGCGAAGGUGUCUUGUAAAGGAUGCUGGAGGUAUCAGAAGUGCGAAUGCUGACAUGAGUAGCGAUAAUGGGGGUGAAAAGCCUCCACGCCGUAAGCCCAAGGUUUCCUGUUCAACGUUCAUCGGAGCAGGGUGAGUCGGCCCCUAAGGCGAGGCAGAGAUGCGUAGCUGAUGGGAAGCAGGUUAAUAUUCCUGCACCGUCGUAUGAUGCGAUGGGGGGACGGAUCGCGGAAGGUUGUCCAACUGUUGGAAUAGUUGGUUUUUGGCUCAUAGAAGGCGCUUAGGCAAAUCCGGGCGCGUAAUUCAAGGGGUUGAGACGAGUGCACUCGUGCAUGAAGCAAUCGGAAGUGGUUCCAAGAAAAGCCUCUAAGCUUCAGUCAUACGAGACCGUACCGCAAACCGACACAGGUGGGCGAGAUGAGUAUUCUAAGGCGCUUGAGAGAACUCGGGAGAAGGAACUCGGCAAAUUGGUACCGUAACUUCGGGAAAAGGUACGCCCCGGUAGCUUGACUGGUUUACUCCAGAAGGGUGAAAGGGUUGCAAUAAACUGGUGGCUGCGACUGUUUAAUAAAAACACAGCACUCUGCAAACACGAAAGUGGACGUAUAGGGUGUGACGCCUGCCCGGUGCUGGAAGAUUAAAUGAUGGGGUGCAAGCUCUUGAUUGAAGUCCCAGUAAACGGCGGCCGUAACUAUAACGGUCCUAAGGUAGCGAAAUUCCUUGUCGGGUAAGUUCCGACCUGCACGAAUGGCGUAACGAUGGCCACACUGUCUCCUCCCGAGACUCAGCGAAGUUGAAAUGUUUGUGAUGAUGCAAUCUACCCGCGGCUAGACGGAAAGACCCCAUGAACCUUUACUGUAGCUUUGCAUUGGACUUUGAACCAAUCUGUGUAGGAUAGGUGGGAGGCUUUGAAGCGGGGACGCCAGUUCUCGUGGAGCCAACCUUGAAAUACCACCCUGGUUUGUUUGAGGUUCUAACCUUGGUCCGUUAUCCGGAUCGGGGACAGUGCAUGGUAGGCAGUUUGACUGGGGCGGUCUCCUCCUAAAGUGUAACGGAGGAGUUCGAAGGUACGCUAGAUACGGUCGGACAUCGUGUUGAUAGUGCAAUGGCAUAAGCGUGCUUAACUGCGAGACUGACAAGUCGAGCAGGUACGAAAGUAGGACAUAGUGAUCCGGUGGUUCUGUAUGGAAGGGCCAUCGCUCAACGGAUAAAAGGUACUCUGGGGAUAACAGGCUGAUUCCUCCCAAGAGUUCAUAUCGACGGGGGAGUUUGGCACCUCGAUGUCGGCUCAUCACAUCCUGGGGCUGUAGCCGGUCCCAAGGGUAUGGCUGUUCGCCAUUUAAAGUGGUACGUGAGCUGGGUUUAAAACGUCGUGAGACAGUUUGGUCCCUAUCUGCCGUGGGCGUUGGAAAUUUGAAGGGGGCUGCUCCUAGUACGAGAGGACCGGAGUGGACGAACCUCUGGUGUACCGGUUGUCACGCCAGUGGCAUUGCCGGGUAGCUAAGUUCGGAAGAGAUAACCGCUGAAAGCAUCUAAGCGGGAAACUUGCCUUGAGAUGAGAUUUCCCAGAGCCUUGAGCUCUUUGAAGGGUCGUUCGAGACCAGGACGUUGAUAGGCUGGGUGUGGAAGUGCAGUAAUGCAUUAAGCUAACCAGUACUAAUUGCCCGUACGGCUUGUCCCUAUAACCUUAGCAGGU
rnacentral:rRNA from 1 species